rnacentral:rRNA from 1 species
ACGUUGUCUGCUAUACGCAGGAAGACCCG